AGAGUUUGAUCCUGGCUCAGGACGAACGCUGGCGGCGCGCCUAACACAUGCAAGUCGAACGGAGAAGAUCUUUCGGGAUCUUCUGAGUGGCGGACGGGUGAGUAACGCGUGAGCAAUCUGCCUUUCAGAGGGGGAUAAUGUCUGGAAACGGACACUAAUACCGCAUAACAUAUAGGGACUGCAUGGUUCUUAUAUCAAAGGAGAAAUCCGCUGAGAGAUGAGCUCGCGUCCAAUUAGGUAGAUGGUGAGGUAACGGCCCACCAUGCCGACGAUUGGUAGCCGGACUGAGAGGUUGAACGGCCACAUUGGGACUGAGACACGGCCCAGACUCCUACGGGAGGCAGCAGUGGGGGAUAUUGCACAAUGGGGGAAACCCUGAUGCAGCGACGCCGCGUGAGGGAAGAAGGUUUUCGGAUUGUAAACCUCUGUCCUAAGGGACGAAGGAAGACGGUACCGUAGGAGGAAGCCACGGCUAACUACGUGCCAGCAGCCGCGGUAAUACGUAGGUGGCAAGCGUUGUCCGGAAUUACUGGGUGUAAAGGGAGCGUAGGCGGCAGAGCAAGUUGAAUGUGAAAGCCCGGGGCUUAACCCCGUGAUGCGUUCAAAACUGUCCUGCUUGAGUGAAGUAGAGGCAAUCGGAAUUCCUAGUGUAGCGGUGAAAUGCGUAAAUAUUAGGAGGAACACCAGUGGCGAAGGCGGAUUGCUGGGCUUUAACUGACGCUGAGGCUCGAAAGCGUGGGUAGCAAACAGGAUUAGAUACCCUGGUAGUCCACGCGGUAAACGAUGAUUACUAGGUGUGGGGGGAAGAACCCUUCCGUGCCGGAGUUAACACAAUAAGUAAUCCACCUGGGGAGUACGACCGCAAGGUUGAAACUCAAAGAAAUUGACGGGGGCCCGCACAAGCAGUGGAGUAUGUGGUUUAAUUCGACGCAACGCGAAGAACCUUACCAGGUCUUGACAUCGUGUGCAUAGUAUAGAGAUAUAUGAAGUUGUUCUUCGGAACGACACACAGACAGGUGGUGCAUGGUUGUCGUCAGCUCGUGUCGUGAGAUGUUGGGUUAAGUCCCGCAACGAGCGCAACCCUUACGGUCAGUUGCUACUGAGAAGAGCACUCUGGCAGGACUGCCGUUGACAAAACGGAGGAAGGUGGGGAUGACGUCAAAUCAUCAUGCCCUUUAUGACCUGGGCUACACACGUACUACAAUGGCUAAGAACAGAGAGAAGCGACACAGCGAUGUGAAGCAAACCUCGAAAAAUAGUCUCAGUUCAGAUUGCAGGCUGCAACUCGCCUGCAUGAAGUCGGAAUUGCUAGUAAUCGCAGAUCAGCAUGCUGCGGUGAAUACGUUCNCCGGGCCUUGUACACACCGCCCGUC
rnacentral:rRNA from 1 species